rnacentral:rRNA from 1 species
AUUGAACGCUGGCGGCAGGCCUAACACAUGCAAGUCGAACGAGUCGCGGACGUGUGAGCAAUGUCUGGGAAACUGCCUGAUGGAUGGGGACAACUACUGGAAACGGUUGCUAAAACCGUCUACCAUCAGCUGUGCCCAGAUGGGAUUAGCUUGUUGGUGGGGUAACGGCGCACCAAGGCGACGAUCCCUAGCUGGUCUGAGAGGAUGACCAGCCACACUGGAACUGAGACACGGUCCAGACUCCUACGGGAGGCAGCAGUGGGGAAUAUUGCACAAUGGGCGAAAGCCUGAUGCAGCCAUGCCGCGGGUGUGAAGAAGGUCUUCGGAUUGUAAAGUACUUUAAGCGGGGAGGCGUUACCAGCAGAAGAAGCACCGGCUAACUCCGUGCCAGCAGCCGCGGUAAUAC